UGGUUGGAAAAGUAUUUACAUAAAAAAAAAUAAAUAAAUAUCAUUGUAAAAUUUAUACAUUACUCACUCCAUUCAGAAUCUAAAAAUAUUCAAAUUCCGAUCUUGUAAUAUUUGUCUUAUUUCCCUAUGAGUCUGUAUUACCUUGCCAUUGAAUCGGAGGAUCGAGACUAUUAUCUUCGUAAAGGAUUCUACAUAUUCUUUCUAUCGGUCAAUUGUCUCUUCUUUUUUAAUUAGUAUAUUCCCAUCUUUGUCUUUGAAGUGUGAAUUUCUUGACAUUGUGAUUUAAUCCAUUGUUCCUUUGCUCAUCUUACUUCUCGGUUUAUAUUAUUUUUCAGUGUUCUGUAUUUUAUUGUACUAUCUGAAUCAUUUUUGUUUUUAAGAGAUCUUCUAUUCUGUAUAUCAUUGAUUAUAUCUUGAUUUAUCCAUUUAUGUCCGGGUAUGUUAGUUCACUCAAAUAAUGUGUCAUAAGCCUUCCAGUAAUAUA